rnacentral:lncRNA from 1 species
CUAAGAGAGCUGGGGCUGUUCAGCCUGGAAAAGUCUCUGGAGCAAUGUGAGAACAGCCUUUCAGUAAAGAGAGGCUGUAAGAAGGGGAGAGACUCUUUUGCAGGGUCUGCUAUGACAGGACAAGGGGAAAUGGUUUCAAACUGAAAGAGGGGAGAUUAAGGCAGGAUAUAAGACUAAAUAUAAGUUUUAUAGAAUAGCUAGAAGUUUGCUGUAGUAAGGACAGUGAAGCACUGAAACAGCUUGCCCAGAGAGGUGGUGGAUGCCCUGUUCCUGGAGACAUUCAAGGUUAGGCUGGACCAGGCCCUGAGCACCCUGAUAUAGUUGUAUAUGUCCCUCUUUAUUGCAGGGGAGUUGGACUAGCUGGCCUUUAAAGGUCCCAUCAAACUCUAAGGAUUCUAUGAUUCUAUGUGUUUUCUCAGAGCAGGCUGCUCCUGCAGAUGCAUUUGGAGAGCAGAAUAGGUUUCCAGCUAUAGAAUGCAAUCGGGAACAGUCAGCAAUAUGGCAGUUCUGAGCUUACAAAGUGCCUUACCAGCAAGGCUUUUCACUACUCUGAGCCACUCCAGCAGAAAAUAAGGUAGUUUUUCCACCUCAUCUGUGCUCUCCUCAUUUCCUUUGGGAAGUCAGGUUUCCAUAGGAAACCAUGCUGUUGGAAGCUGAUUCUUCCAGAGGUCUAACACUAGCCUCUGUAAGUCAGGAAGGCAGCUUAGCAGGCCCACUGGGAAGUAGCAGAUGGAUAGGAAAAUGACAUGCUUUCCAAAAGUAUUUAAAUAUCAACUCUCUUUUGUUACAGCUGUGUAAGAGCCAUAUAAAAUCAAGUAACAUGUAGGAGAGAAAAGGGGUCAUGAAGGAGGAGUUUGAGCAAAAAGUAAUGCUAAAAAAGAAAAAAAAAUCCAUUGCAAAUGGUAAUGUAAAUAAGGUAAAACUUGAAAACUAUGAAGCAAUACUGCAGAUAGUCAUGUCUGAAGGAAUACCUAGAGGGUUCUUUUUGGUGGUGAUCUUCACUCCUGGAUCUGAAUUUUUCUGGACUGUCUCCCUUACCACUUCUGCAGGACACAAUUGCAACAGAAUUUUCCUUGAAUCAACGGAGGACUAUUACUUGAUGAGAUCAUUGUUUUCAGACAAUGAUUUAUGGGCAGCUGGAAUUUGCAUGCAUUGCUCCGAAUCUGUGGAAGAAUCUAUGUGGUUGUUCAUGGCCUUCAGAAACAUGGAUGCUGCAAAGCAGAGCUAUGGAGAAUAUGGAAAGCAGGCUCAAAAAGCAUCUGCAAAUCUGUGCCAAUAUUAUUGCCUCUGUCAUCAAGCAAUGGAAAGGUUUUUCUAGUUAAAUUCAAGUAAUUAAAUCUCCCUGCUCUCAUUAAAAAAAAUACAACUGUCUGCUGCUGGUCUGAAGAAUUGCACAGAGUGAACGUAAAUUUUAAUUUCAUGGUGCAAGUGUUAAAUUAUUGCCAUCUAAGCUGUCUGCCAGUGUUACAUGAAAUCCCACCACAUUUUAAUAAUUCUCCCUUUGUUUUGGAUGGAAAUACCACGUGUUGUGAUUUGGAAGUUUUUAUGUGCAAUUAGAGCCCUGAGAACUACAACAUAAUCACAUUCAAUUCACCUAAUUGGACAGCGAGGAAACUGUCAUUUCUGAAAUGGUUUGUGUCUUUUGGAAUGUCUGUGUGUAUACACAUGCGUAUAAAAUGAAACAUUUUCUCACCCAUCCUGUGUUAAAAUGUAAUAGAAACUCCUGCUAACUGAAGUUGAAGAUAUAGCUGGGUGUUCUUUAGUAACCUCAAAACAUAUACGUGUGCGUGUAAAUAAAAAACUGUCCUUCUAAACACAAGGAUCCUUCCCUCCUACUUACUUUGCAACAUCUUAGUAAGGAUUUGCCAUCAAUUCCCUCUCUUUACAGUGCAUUUGAUGACAUUUUACAGAUCAUCAUACUAAAUAAGUAAGAACCAUCCUCUGAUUUAGAAGAAAAACCUUUAUUUAUUUCAAUUUAUUUUGGGAGUUCAGAAGUAAUGACAAACUUGACAAUCUUCAUGACAAACAUGACAAUCUUCACAUCACUUUAAGCUGUGUGACCAAAAAGCCAUUAGCUUCACAGAAACAGACAAUACAUUUCAUCCUGAAACAACACUUAUGAUCAACAUUUAUGCAAUCUAUAGGUACUUCCUAUAUUUGUAUCAAUGCAAGUAAGAAGACAUGGAGUAUCAAACCAGCAAGGGCUUAGAAAUAUCAAGCCCAAGAGUUUACCCAUUUACUUCAGUGGAAAAUAGUGCUAGUAAAUAUCAAUACAUAUUUUAAUCUUUUAUUUCAGUAAUUUCCAUGUAAAAGCAAACAUAUUCUGCCAACUUUAUUCAUUGUCUUUGAUCUUUUUUUGAAGCAUAUUAUGAUAGAUUUCUGAAUCUUUUAAUUCAAUGUUGAAGUAGAUAUUAAGUAUAUCACAACACCAAUCCACACUAAAUAGAACUUUUGUUUUUUGUUCUUUUGCUGAAAUGUCUGACAGUAUUUCAAGAAUAAUUUAAUUAUGAACUUUAUAUUAACAAAAGACAAGUGAUUUUUUAUUCCAUUCAGUGUGGAAUAAGAUACUACCUAUAUUUGUUAAGCCCUGUGUAUCAACCAGAAUUUGCAAAGGGAAGUUAUCAACUUCAGAUACUCAUUCUCCAUUUCCCAUAAAUAUGUUAAAAAUACAAAGUCAGCUCCUAAGUUUUUCAUCAAAUAAACUAGCUUAUUAAGAUUAAGUGGCCUGAAACCACCAUCUGUGAGUUCACAUUUAUAUCUAGAAAACCUGUAUAAUCAUGUGUAUUGAGAGUAAGGCUUAGUGUUGGAAGGCCCAACCUUGUAAACAAGCUUUGUUUACACAAGAAGACAAUAGGACUCUUCUUUUGUUUCAGAGUUUACAUGUUCAGAGGCUGAGAUCACUAUUUUUGAAAUGUGAUGAUGGGAAUACAAAGUAAUUACCUUUAUGAAGGUUUUACAAAGAAUCCUACUGUUUAAGUCAGACAGAGGUACAUGCCCGCUUCACCCUGAGCCCUUCUGCGAAUGGUCAGAAACAGAAUACUGUGUGAUCUCAAAAAGAUUCAGAGCAAACAUGGAAGACAGUUAUGUUUAAAUGACACUCUGGUUGGGCAGGCACUGAACGCAGUAACAGUUUCAACAUAGACACCUUAAACCUUCCAGUAUUCUAUUUUAGGUUUGUUCUUCAUUCUUGCAUCACAGCAGGAGUUGUACCCUUUAUCAGUGUUGAUGUCUUCUUAAAAGAGGGUCUGUGACCGCAUUUGAAGUAUCUCUACUACCAGUUGUGGUGAUUUCACCCUGAUGUGCAGCUAAACUACUACAUCAUUCUCCUGUUACUCCUACUCAAAGGAAGAGGGGGAGAAAAUGAAAUGAAAAAAGGCUCAGGGUUUGAGAUUACCGUCACUGAUCAGUGAUUAUGAGAAUAAAUAAACAUAGUGUGGAAAAAUCUUUGUAUAGUCAUUAAAAUACCCAAGUGUGGCAUUCUAGUAGAGAUUUAAUAAGGAGAAGAAACUGACCCUCAGACUUAGGAAUUCAUUUUCUUUACUUUUCUACAAGGACAGACAUACAUCUCUCUAUCUAAUUUAUAUAUACAUACGUAUAUAUAAAGCAAAGCUUUUAAAGAAUUUUUAUUUAUCAUUGUAAAAUCUCUACUUAGAAUUGGAAAGAGAUAGAAAAAAAAAAAGUAGACUUUGAUUAUCACCUUGAUACAUCUAAGUGUUUACAGUGGGAGCUAAGCUGUAGCAUAGCAAUGUAAUAAAAAUAGAAAGUAAAGUGACGUAAAAAGUGCACUGAGGACUACCUUAUAACUAAUUCCAAACGUUCAAGAAUAGUAAAUGGUUAACAGUGAUGCAAAAGGAAAUUACAGAAAAAACAAUCAAAAAGGACUCCUAAACAAUGAAAGGAAACAAAAAAUUAAUAAAGCAGAAGACUGAAAAACAGAUAAGGAGAGCAAAACGGUGAAAGAUUUCACAGAAGAUUAUGAAAUUAGCACAAAAAAUUUUUAAACAAUCCUAAGAAUAAACUGUCAUUGAAGAACAGAAUAGGGAUUGUGGAGGAUCAUUUUUUAAGGGAUGAGGUAAAAAAAGAUGGAAAAUUUAAACAAAUUCUUCGCAUAGCUGUUCAGAAAGAAAUGUCAGCUCGCAGAGCUGUAGAAAUAUAGGUACAUAUUUUCUGGAGCAAAAGGAAGGAUAAAACACCUAAGUAAACACACACUGUAUGUGACAUAGUACAGAUGACAAUCUUAGCAUGUAUCACAUAAAAUAAUUUCUCAGUGCUAAAGCAUAUGCACUUCAGAAUUCACAGAAAGGGACAAAAAACAGCAUCACUCUUCACAAGACUAAUUUACAUCACUUCACCAUUCAGAUAACUUUUCCUUUUCAAAAUGUUGCUUUGAAGUCACAUGGGCUACUUACAUGACUGACAACUCUAGGACUGCAGUGAAAAAGAAGUUUCAGUGGAAUUAAAGAAAAAGUAACGGGAAGUGUGCAGGAGGUAUCUGUGCAAAGAAGGGCCCCAUGCAACUCCUCUCACAGCUUGCCUCUAAAAACUCAAGAACUGGGUUUAAAUGAGAGAAACACCUUGUCUUUCUGGCAAGUUUUAGCAAUGCCUUCUAUGCAGGAAAGCAAUUUGCUUCAAGACCAAACAGAAAUGCACACUGGUUAAGAGUGAUAUAUUACAAAAACAACAGAGUAUAGCUAAAUUCAGCAAAUUAUGAAGCAAUGGCUAUUUCAGUGAGAGUCAGAGAUUCGUCUAAUGAGAUCCAGGAGUUUCAGCUCUGAACAAAAAGUGAUGAAUUCAAGCUUAAAUUCCUACAAGUAACCCCUAUUCUACAUUAAAGGUAACCAUCCAUCACAUUUUUAACUACAUCUACAAGGGAGUUCAGUAACUUCAGUCUAAAAAAUUCAAAACACAGACAUAUUUUCAGCCAAAACAAAGCCAGAGCCAGCAGUAAUUUUAAUUCUUUUCACUAAGUAUUGUUCUGGCCAUAAGACUAUGUGUAAAAUGGAUGUGGUUGAAGCCACAAUGGACUGUAAGGUUUAUAGGAUGAACAAGUUGCUAAGGAAGAGCUUGCAUGCCUAAAAACUUACAUUAUUCCAGCUGGAGUGCAUCCUGUAACAACAGUACUUCUUUAUUCUUCCAUAUCUUCCCUAAAAAGCUGAGCGCUCUGGCUGAAGACAGGCCAGGAGAGGCGCAUGGAUGUUUGCCUUCUUCAUGUUGCCUGAAAACCUAGUCCUUGUCUCAUCUGGGAACAGGACAGUCAUGCCAAGUGGAUGCAUCUCCCUGCAUCUGUGGAGAGACAGCAAAUGUGCUGUCUGGAAAGUAUCUGUGUUCUAGGAGGUGAGAAACUGGCUUGGGCUGUUUGAUUUCACUUCUACUCAGAGAAAUGGGGCAAUGAACUUUCUAAUAAACAGGUUUGGUUCACAGAGGGAUGACUCCACCAUCGAUCAUUCCACCAGAGGAAUAACUCAAGAUUCGAAAAUUUUAACCAGAUAAUUUUAUCAAAAGAAUAAUAAAAAAAAAAAAAAAAAAAAAAAAAAAAAAAGGACCAAGUAAUGACUUAAAACAAUUGCUGUGAUAUUACAUCUACAUAGGAUCUACUGGCCUAUAUGUCAGUUUUAAUCUGCCACUGGUUAAAUCCUACAUACUGAGCAAAAUAACUUACCAACACAAUACAUGCAAAGUAAAUAAAUACUCAAGCAACACUCUAUGUCCCACAUCCACUCAGAUACCAGAAGUGUGUAUUUCCAGUCUGUGAAAUACAAUGAUAAGUAAAAACAGUGAUUCUCCAUGAGUGCAUUACUCAGAAGAAGCAAUGUUAAGGCAGUCAGUGUGAUCUUUAAAAAUCACUCCCAGUAAAUAAAUAAAUAAGCACCUCUACCUGCACAGCUAUCUGAAGACAAGUUAACAAAUUCUGUUUUCCACUUAUUAGCAAAUCAGUUGUUCUGUAAAGAAUACAUGAUCAAAACCUACAGCAACAGCUGGCACAUGUAUAAAGCGGGGCAAAAAAAUUAAGAUGAAGUAUUUCUGACAAAAAAAUAUAUGAAACAAAACAAAGUUGAAAACUGAAGCAGAUAUCAGAUAACCAUUUUGUCAUUUAUAAAAUACUUUUUCAGGACAAAAGGGGUUGCCAUACCUUUUCACUCAGCAUAUCCUCAGAGUCACAUAUUAAGCUGAUCAAAUCCGAGGGUACUGCAGUAAGCUGAAGCUUGAAGCUGCCUCCACUUCCUUCAUUUCGUUUACAGUUUUGUUUGGGGGUUGUUCUUUUUUUUCUUUUUAGCUUGCAGAAACCUGAGGGAAAAAAUAUUUUGGGGGUUACUAUCGAAAUAGUUUAUUCAGUAGUCAAUUAACUGAAAAAAACAAAUAGUUCUAAACUGAUCUCUUAUAUACCAUGCCCCUUUUUAUAUCAUAGUUAUUGGUUCCAUUCUGUUGUUAUAUUUUACUGAAAACAUUAUGAAUAUAAAUGAGAAUAGUGCACAAAGAGCAGAGGUGAAGAUAUGUCCCAUUAGAAAUCUGCUUUUUUACUUACAUUUACUGAGGUUAUCAAGUACCUCUUUAUGAACUCUUCAUCCCUUUCUAAAAGGUAAAGUUGAAAUUGGGAAAUAUAUUGCAUCAGUUAUUGGGCAUUCUGGGGUUUUCCAUUAUUUUAAAAACCUCCUAUGUGCCUAAUUAUAGCUAAUAAGUACUGUUUAGAAACAUAGCAGAGAACUCAUGAUUUCCUUCUUCACCCAAUGCCCAGAAAAUCCAUGUCCGAGAACAAAAUCUUGAAGGUAUUUGUGAUCAUGACCCAUUCUCAUUAUCUGUAUCCAUUCUAAGAUUUUUAUAUUAUAUGAAUGAAUAUUUUAAAGUGAAAUUAUAGUAUUCAAUGGCAAAUUACAACUACAUGUGACCAAGAGAGGAUUAAACCCAUCAUUUUGCUUAAGAGCUCUGAUGGCUGGAGUAAUUGGAUGAUAGCUGUAGGGCAUCUUUUUGGUCUGUAAUUAGGUCAUUUCUUUCUCAUCCCUUCACUGUGUGUAUAAUUACGAAUUAAUUUGAAAUCCCACUGUGAGUAAAGAAAGUCAGUUUAAUAUAACGGAAGUGCAAAAGCCACAAUAUAUUACUUUUUAAAAACUGCUUAUUUCAAAAUACUCAGUCUGGCCAAAAGUUAUAUCCCUAUGUACUGCAAGGCUUAUAUUUGGUUUCUUUGCUAACUUUGUACAAGUGCUGCUCUGAAAGUAAUGCCUCCUGUUUUAUUAUGUUGGUGUGCAAUGUCAGAGGUGGAUUUUGGUGGUACAUCAGGAGAGGUUGAACCUUCACACCAGUAUUCCACUACAUUUUGUUGCUGUGUGACAGAUGGCAGCAGAGGGUCAGUCUGACAAAAUGGCUUCUGACACGGAAGCAUCUGAGAAGAAAAGAUGUGGAACUGAAUUCCUCCAUGUGGUAAAAAAAUUGCAUCCAUUGACUUUCACUGAUGCUUGCUGAACAUUUAUGGAGAUCAAACAGUGGAUGUGAGCUCAGUGAGGUUGUGGGUAAUGUGUUUCAACAGCAGUGAUAGUGGCAGUGGUUCACCUCCACCGGUGCAAAUUUUUACAAGAACAGCAAGCAGGUUCUCGUUCAUCGUUGGCAAAAAUGCAUAGCUAAUGACAGUGAAUAUGCAGCAAAAUAAAGUUUGUAUUUGAGAAUUUUCUCUAUGAAAUAGUGUUAUUGUGCUCUUUGUAUUUGUUGCAGUUUCUAUGGAAAUAAACAGCAAGUAUUACUUUUGAAUCAAUCUACGUUCCUGGAUGUAUUUUCUCUCUUAAAAUAAAUGAAUUUUCAAAGCACCACACUUUGCUCCAGUAUCUGUCAGUAGGUGUCAACAGCACAAAAAGGUAGUGGAAAGAAAUAAAAAGUAACCAUGAGAGUCUUGACAGACAGUAUUAGCAUCAGAGAACUUAGAGGCCACUCUCAACACAGUCAACCAUUUUAUCCUUUAGUCCUGCCAUUAUUUCCUUCCACUGAAACUACCUUUCUGCUUUUACCCUGAAAGUGUUAAACACUGCACAACCCUAACUAGCAUACCUGCUACUAUGUGCAUCAGGAGCUCACCAUUUCAUCAUCUGGCUGAGAUAUGCUGCUGGCAAGUUCUGCUUCCCUUCCUUUAUCACAACAUUGUGGUCGGAUGCAUCAGACCUCCCUCCCGCCUUAGCAAUGAUACAGGUAAAAACAUGCAUUUCUGACAAAUGGAUAACCCCAAGCAGAUCUGUGGAGACAAUGUUUUGACUUGCUGAACUUCCUGUUUCAUUCUGUUUUCAUCUGUCCCCAGAAACCUUGAAAGGGGUCGGUGAGAGGGUCCCAGGUGUGAUCUGAGCACCAGUGAUGUCAACAGCGAGCCAGGGGCUGUGCAGGGUGUGAAGUUAAAGGGAAGAGCAGAGAAAAGACUGUUGGUGCAGAGAACAAGGGUACUGAGAUUUGACUGUAUUUGUAGCUGUGCUGUAAAAAACUGUAAAACAUCCCAUGCCGUUAGCAUAAGAUUAGAUUUCUGCCAGGAAAAAAAAAAAAAAAAAGAGAGAGAGAGAGAGAACAAAAAGAAAUGGAACUGCUUAGAUAUAAGUUCCAAAGUUCAUUAAGAGGGUUCUUUUCUGCAUAGCUCCAAAGCUAAGAUGUGCUAAGGCAUGUAGAAAAAUAAGGAGGUGUUAAAAACCUACCCAACUUCUUAGCUUUCAAAAAAAGUUCAAAGUCCUAGUCAUCGAUUAUUUACAUGGUGACCUCCAGGCCUAUUUGUGAUGCCAAAAAAAUUGUACUCAGGAAGGAAGGAAGACAUUAUCAAAAAGGAAAGAAUUUCUGUUUAAUCUAAUAAUGCCUUUAUAAAAAUAACCAUUUUCUUUUACAUAUAAUAAAAAAUUCAUUAGAAAAUCUCAACAUAUUUUUAUAUAAAAAUAAUAACUGGCAACAUAGCUAGAAAUAAGAAGCAGAGAAAGAAACUUGGAUGCAUUUCUUGCUUGCAAGAGCAUGAUGAGGAAAUAAGGUAAUCUAGUCUUCCCAUUCUGAACAAAAUAGACAUGAUAACAGAAUAUAUAAAUCAAGACAUUUUUGGAGAAAUAAUGUCACUCCAUAAUUUUUGAAAGUAGAAAUAAUUUAAAAUUCAUGCAUGAAACUAAAUAGGUAAAAUAUGUCAUUUUGAAAUAACAUAACAGUAAAAAUAAUUUGUAAAACUUUUUUUGUUUUUUAACUGAGUCUCAUUUUAUACUUGGAAAAUUUUCUUUAGAAAAUUUUCAACCUCUUCUAUGUAGCUCCUGGGUAAAUAUGGAGGUUUUAUGGAAACCAAACAAAUGAAUUAAAUGACUACAAGAAUUAUUGGCUCUAAAUAUAUACAUUUUCUUCUGAUGCUACUAGAAUGUUACUAGUAUAUACUGUAUGAAUUAUAAAAAAUGUUAUGACAGAUAUGGAAGUAAUAUACUUCGGUGAUAAAUCUUCAAUAGAAAGAAUUUAUUAGAGUCAUAUAGAUCUACU